UACGUAGGGGGCAAGCGUUGUCCGGAUUUAUUGGGCGUAAAGAGCGUGUAGGCGGCCAGAUAGGUCAGCUGUGAAAACUCGAGGCUCAACCUCGAGAUGUCGGCUGAAACCAUCUGGCUAGAGUCCGGAAGAGGAGAAUGGAAUUCCCGGUGUAGCGGUGAAAUGCGCAGAUAUCGGGAAGAACACCCGUGGCGAAGGCGGUUCUCUGGGACGGUACUGACGCUGAGACGCGAAAGCGUGGGGAGCGAACAGA
rnacentral:rRNA from 1 species